rnacentral:rRNA from 1 species
AUUGAACGCUGGCGGCAGGCCUAACACAUGCAAGUCGAACGAGUGGCGGACGGGGGAGUAAUGUCUGGGAGACUGCCUGAGGGAGGGGGAUAACUACUGGAAACGGUAGCUAAUACCGCAUACCCUCAGAUAUGCCCCGAGGGGAUUAGCUUGUGGGUGGGGUAACGGCUCCCCAAGGCGACGAUCCCUAGCUGGUCUGAGAGGAUGACCAGCAACACUGGAACUGAGACACGGUCCAGACUCCGACGGUAGGCAGCAGUGGGGAAUAUUGCACAAUGGGCGCAAGCCUGAUGCAGCCAUGCCGCGUGUAUGAAGAAGGCCUUCGGGUUGUAAAGUACUUUCAGCGGGGAGGCGUUACCCGCAGAAGAAGCACCGGCUAACUCCGUGCCAGCCGCCGCGGUAAUAC